GUUGCCAGAGGUUUUUAAAAGGAUAAUUCUGUAUUUAAGCCGUUCUACAGGUGUCCCGACUUCUUCUUUAAAAUGAGCAAAAUGGGGGGAGGAGUCCAGUGUCCAUCAGCAGCUGUGGGUUUGCUAGGCUGGUGGUAGGGUGAAGCUGCAACAUGCGAGGCCAGGCUGCUCUCUGUACUGCUCUAUCAGCACAGACCCCACUGCAUGCUGGGUAUUAGCCAGCAGAGCUCCACCCCAUCCCAUUUCUGGCCAGCAUUGGCCAGUGAGGCAGGCAGACGCCAGGUGGUGGCUGCUUACAUGUCACCUCUGCUGCCCAAUCAUCAGCUGUUUACAUCUUCCCUCUCUCAAGGUCUUCUCCCUGGCUUCCCCCUCCUCCCCACUACAUGUCCCUCUCCCAGUGCUGAACAGAGAACCAGCUCCUGGUCCACACAAAAAGAUACACAUAAAAUUCUGUGUCCAUGUCAGAAUUCACAUAAAUAUUCAUCUCUGAAAUUAACUUUUAACUGAUUCAGAUAUUUUAUGGCACAUAGUAAUACACCUCUCUAACUCCUUCCCCCAAUACACACACAUACUUUUCCUGCCAUACUUUUGCUGCCAUACAUCAGAAAAAUAUAAAAUUAAUUUCAGACUAAAUGCAGAAUGACCAACCCCAUUUGACAAUCCAGAGAUCAUGCUUUUCUACAAAAUAAAUGUUCAAGGGCUCUUGAUGCAAAACAUAUGAGAACCAAACAAAAAGAAAAUAAAAAAAGAAAUUCUUUAUUUUGCUUUUAAAAAAUUAUUUGUUAUGUAAAGACCAGUGAAAUUCCCGUGAACCAAGCUAAUCUGAAAAUCUGUACCCCACAAUACAGCAUGCUGAUGAGUUGUAUAAAUUGACUUUUGUUUUCUGGAGCUAGCUAGACAAAUCACUCCCCAUUUACAGUACUAUCUGGACCAUGUACUGUGUAGCAUUAUUACAGCAUUUCCUUUAUGCACAACCCCCACCCUCUGCAUACUAUUAAUAUAUCCUGACUAGGUUAAAAGACUUGCAAAUGAUUUUGCCUGAAAUGCCCUAAUAUGAUAUCUCCUUUAGGGAAAUAUCUUCAGCCCCAAUUAGUUUAAUUGACAAGGAAGCCAAGAGAAUAGAAAGGACAGGACAGCAAUAGAAUAACAUGAAAGAAUAGGUUUCCGGGUUCACUACAUAACCCUUGAUUCUAUUCACUAUUAGUAUUUGUAACAUGCUCUUCCAUAACAGUUUAUACUACUGCCACUUCAUGGAUUCAUUAAAACUUUGAGUCAGAGAUGAUGUGGUAAAUCUUAUCAGGCUUACACUGUGCCAUUAGCACCGUAGUUAUGCUUGGCAUUUUCAUCUUUUAAAGGAAUCACUCACUUUCAUCAUUUUCUAUCACAAAAAUCACCAGUUCACAUUUGAGCAAAUUUAGCACUUACAAACACAACAGGGCUGUUUUAUCCCACACCAGGGAAACACCAAGGAGAACAAAUUUAACCAACCAAGUGUGAUAAAAACUGUUAAAUCCCCUCCCUACUCUCCCUCCAUGUCCCUAAGAAUAAAUUGAAUUUAGAUUCCAUUCUAACCAGUGAUAAUUUGGGGCGGGAGAGGCAGGGAGGGCAAACGUGUUGCAGCCCUGGGAAUCAUGUGGAAUCUACAUAAUUUACUAUUUCCUGUGAUUCAUCAAGCUUCCUUCUUCCCAAGAGUAAUUGGUCACCACUUAUUUAUAUAUCACAGAGCAGCUCAACUCUAAAGAUUUCCUUAUGGGAAGAAAAGGAAUUCCAAACAUUCUUAGUGGAGCUCCUUCUAUGGUACUUUGCCUAAGGCAUUAACUGAAAUUCCCAGCGUGAUAAAAGGAAAAUAAAAGAGAUCCCUUUUUUAAACCUAUUUCAGGUUUGACUCCUUAUUAGAAGGAAACACUCAGCUGGUGUGCAGGAAGAGACUCCCCCAUGGAGACAUCUUCAGAAGAUGAAGAAACAAUCAAUAGAGAAACUAUCGUGAGUGCACGCACAGUAUCACCUUCUCUUGGCAAGCACAUGGCAUGGCAAGAACCCUAACCCUGGUGAGUUCACUCUCAGGGACAAGGAGCAAGAUGAGGAAAUGCUAAAGGGUUUUCAGAGGGUAUCUUUGCUAGCACCUAGGAACAUUACUCUGAAUACUGUCACCAUUUUCCAUGGCGGGGGAUGUGUGACAGAAGCUGAUAUUUCAUUCCUGAGGAUAACAAAGGGUGCAAGAGUACAGCUUCUGCAUGCAUGUGGCUACAAAGUGGGUCCACGUGUUGCUCAGGUGUGUUACUUCGUUGCCGAAGAAGUAAUUGCCUGUGGGUGUGGCAAAGCUUCCUACUGCAAGGGGGGGAUCUUCAAAAAGCCUUCAGCAGAGGAUUGCAAGAGUAUCUCCAGGAAAGUUCCCUAGAAAUCUCCAUGGAGGAUUCCUGGGAUAUCCCAGCAUGCAUCAACAAUUUUUACCCCCUCUGCCUAUCUGCCCAGUGGAAUCAGAAGCAGAUACAAACUAUAUUAUUUCUGGUAGCACU